rnacentral:rRNA from 1 species
CUACGGGCGGCAGCAGUGGGGAAUAUUGCACAAUGGGCGCAAGCCUGAUGCAGCCAUGCCGCGUGUAUGAAGAAGGCCUUCGGGUUGUAAAGUACUUUCAGCGGGGAGGAAGGGAGUAAAGUUAAUACCUUUGCUCAUUGACGUUACCCGCAGAAGAAGCACCGGCUAACUCCGUGCCAGCAGCCGCGGGUAAUACGGAGGGUGCAAGCGUUAAUCGGAAUUGCUGGGCGUAAAGCGCACGCAGGCGGUUUGUUAAGUCAGAUGUGAAAUCCCCGGGCUCAACCUGGGAACUGCAUCUGAUACUGGCAAGCUUGAGUCUCGUAGAGGGGGGUAGAAUUCAAGGUGUAGCGGUGAAAUGCGUAGAGAUCUGGAGGAAUACCGGUGGCGAAGGCGGCCCCCUGGACGAAGACUGACGCUCAGGUGCGAAAGCGUGGGGAGCAAACAGGAUUAGAUACCCGCGUAGUC